AUCAAAAAGAAAAGAAUGAAGAAGAAGUAAAAGAGAAAGAGAUUCCGAAAGGAGUGAUAGGACCAGGAUUGCCAGUGCCAUACCCAUUUCCAUUUCCAAACUUUAUCUUUCCUCUUCCUGACCCUCCU
rnacentral:ribozyme from 13 species